CAGCUUGUUGCCACCAGCUUCCAAAAUAAAAUAUUUUGAAAUUACAGAUUGAAACAAUGCUUUCACGUAGAAGCCUCUUUAGUUGAGGCAUAAUGAGGAACUUUAAACAUUUAACCUCUGGGAGAAAAAAGAGUAUAAACGUAUAAACAGAAGUAUAGAAGUGUCUUUCGCCUCCUGCCAUGAUUCUGAGGCCUCCCCAGCUGUGUGGAACUGCUACUAGGAUGUUGCUGUUGUGUGAGAAUAUGAAGGGGG